CUCCCUGAGACGAGUCUCAAAUAGGACGAAACGCGUGUCCUGGAU
rnacentral:hammerhead_ribozyme from 1 species